CCGUACUAGUUGGGGAGUUAGCGGUGCCCUGUAACCUGCAAUCCGCUAUAGCAGGAAUGAAGUCCCUCUUGAGGCUCUGAUUUGUAUGGUCUGACCUACAUAAGUGGCGUUGAGAACUGGGUCCCACGCAACAGAGAUUUGUGAACCUCGUCAGGUCCGGAAGGAAGCAGCGAUAAGCAAACACCUCUGUGUGCCGUGGAUUAACCUGGUUUGAGUUAACUGUGUGGGUAACGCAUAUGGAUCAUUGUCAAGGGAGGGUGUACGG
rnacentral:SRP_RNA from 1 species